rnacentral:rRNA from 1 species
GACGAACGCUGGCGGCGUGCUUAACACAUGCAAGUCGAGCGGAGCGGCGAACGGGUGAGUAACGCGUGAGUAACUGCACCCCUCUCUGGGAUAACAGAUGGAAACGGCUGCUAAUACCGGAUAGUGGGGGAUGACUCGCGUCCUAUCAGCUUAUUGGUGGGGUAGUGGCCCACCAAGGCGACGAGUGGUAGCCGGCCUGAGAGGGCGACCGGUCACAGUGGGCUGAGAGACGGCCCGAACUCCUACGGGAGGCAGCAGUGGGGAAGAUUGCACAAUGGGGGAAACCCUGAUGCAGCAACGCCGCGUGCGGGAUGACGGCCUUCGGGUUGUAAACCGCUUUCAGCCAUGACGCGGUAGUGGCAGAAGAAGCACCGGCUAACUACGUGCCAGCAGCCGCGGUAAUUC